rnacentral:rRNA from 1 species
UACGGGGGGAGCAAGCGUUGUUCGGAUUUACUGGGCGUAAAGAGCGCGCAGGCGGUCGAGUAAGUCGAAUGUGAAAGCCCCCGGCUUAACUGGGGAGGGUCAUUCGAUACUGUUCGACUUGAAGGCAGGAGAGGGCAGCAGAAUUCCCGGUGUAGUGGUGAAAUGCGUAGAUAUCGGGAGGAAUACCAGUGGCGAAGGCGGCUGCCUGGCCUGUUCUUGACGCUGAGGCGCGAAAGCUAGGGGAGCAAACGGG